ensembl:lncRNA
CCAUCAUGUCACCGUGGUGGGAUUAACUCUGGAUGGCUGCCAGAGGAUGCUCAUCAACUUAAAGAGCAUGGCCCAGUGUUUAUCACGGAACUGCUCAGUGUGUGGCUGACAGGACUGAGAGGUGAGGUGGGCCAAGAUACUGGAUCACAGAAUCUACAGGCUGAGCAUACACUCUACUCCAGCUUCUCAGCUCUCGUCAUCUGCACAGAAAUACAUCACUAAGUCAUUUAUGCUCAUCUUCCUUCUGAAAAACUAUGCAUGUUAGUCACAGCCGGAUGUGCAGCCAACAGCCAGUCUCCCUUGACUGUGGCUGCUAUGUCUCCAUGUUAGCUUAGAAGUCAGGAAUCUGUGUGCUCAGCUGGACUCGCAACGGCUUCUUCUCUG